rnacentral:rRNA from 1 species
AACGAACGCUGGCGGCAUGCCUAACACAUGCAAGUCGAACGAGACCUUCGGGUCUAGUGGCGCACGGGUGCGUAACGCGUGGGAACCUGCCCUUAGGUUCGGAAUGCCUCCCCGAAGGGUGUGCUAAUACCGGAUAAUCUCUUCGCACCAAAGAUUUCUCGCUUGUUGAUGGGCGCGCGUUGGUUUAGCUAGUUGGUGGGGUAAUGGCCUACCAAGGCCGCGAUCGGUAGCUGGUCUGAGAGGAUGAUCGGCCACACAGGGACGGAGACACGGGACAGACGCCGACGGGAGGCAGCAGGGGGGAAGAUUGAAAAAUGGGAGGAAGCAUGAUGCAGCAACGCAGAGUGCGGGAGGAAGGACUGCGGGUGGGAAAAAGAGGUCGCAUGUGACGAAGAGGGAGUGACGGUAAUGGGUAAAGAAGCACCGGCUAACUAAGUG